UUGCGGGCAUGGAUCGUUUCGGUGCGGUGACGUGGUGGGAAUUCUGUCUUGCAUUGCAUGAAUACAUCUGCUUGAUGAAGUUUAAUAUAUGCGAAAUUUGUCAGGUUUGUUCGGCUGGAAGAGAAAGGAGAAGAUGAAGAUUCAUAUGAUGAGAGGGAGAGGGAGAGGGAGAGAGAGGGGGAGAGAGAGAGGUCAUAUUACCACCAAGAGACACAGAUCAAUGCAAUCGGCAACAAAGCAGCAGGGAAAGGUUAUGAGAAUAUAAAUUUUGUAGCAAAGUUGAGUUUCACAUUUUGGGAAUUCCCAACAUUCCUGUGAUGCGUGACAGUUUGAACAAACUGGUAGAAGUGCCGAAUCCUAGUUUUAGUAUGACAGAGUUUCUCAGCGGUAUUGCAAGCAGCGGUUGGUUGAAACAUAUUAGGAGUGUCAUGGAGACAUUAAUUUUUAUAGCAGAGGCUCUUGCUGAGCAGGAACAGUCUUUGUUGGUGCACUGCAGUGAUGGUUGGGAUCGAAUAGCUCAGACAUGCUCUGUUGCCUCAUUGUUAAUUGAUCCUUACUAUUGCACUUUACACAAAUUUCAAGUUCUUAUCUGUAAAGAGUGGCUGGCAUUUGGAUACAAGUUAUCUGUAAAGAGUGGCUGGCAUUUGGACAGGUACUGAAAGUAUGGCCAUUGAGAUGGUGACAGCAAAAGAGAUUUCUCCUGUUUUCGUUCAAUUUCUUAAAGUUGUGUGGCAGCUCCAGUGGCAGUUUCCAUGUACUCUCUAGUUUAAUGAGAAACUACUCAUUGAUCUCCAUGAGCAUGCCACUUCGUGUCAGUUUGGAACAUUUCUUGGCAACUGCGAACGAGAACGGAAAGAGCUAGAAUUGAGUAGCCGAACGUAUCCAUUUUGAGGAUUUGUAUGCGAGCAUGCGUGUGAGUAUUUGAAUCUCAUGUUUGACCAAUGACGAAAUACACUGAAAUGAUGCUUCAUCCAGACACUAGCCCACAGAGAAUACAGUUUUGGCGUGGAAUGUACAAUCAUCAUGAACACUGUGUUGCCUCAACAAUCAGCACAAUCUUGUCUUGCAAGCAUUGUACAAGAAACAGAGAAUUGGCGGAAUGAGAAAUCAGUCCUAGAACAGAGAAUUAAGGCACUGAAAAAGCGUCUUGGUUAUGUUGAGCAUGAAGCUGAUGAUUCAUUUGUUCACGAUAUGAAAGGAGUUGAAGACAAGAGCAUGGAUCGUAUGGACAUAGCAAUGGCUGACAUUGACCAGUCAAUGUCUGUUGUGGACGAUGAGGAUCUAGAUUAUCAUCGUGUUGACUUACUAGAGAGUGAAGAUAAAGGCGGAGAUGAAACGAGUGCUGUAACUAAUGAGGAGAUAUCGGAUGAAGCAUAGCUACAAUUGUAUGCGUCAAGAAUGUAUUAGCAACAAAUUCAAGUCGGACAUAUGACGGUCAGUGAGUCAUUGUGAUAUAUACUAGAUUAUUAUUAGGCUCUUCAUCACAUGACAGUAAUUACCAAGUGUGUAUAU